rnacentral:rRNA from 1 species
UGGGGAAUAUUGCACAAUGGACGGAAGUCUGAUGCAGCGACGCCGCGUGGGGGAUGAAGGCUUUCGGGUUGUAAACUCCUUUCAGUACAGAAGAAGCUUUAUUGUGACGGUACGUGCAGAAGAAGCGCCGGCUAAUUACGUGCCAGCAGCCGCGGUAAUACGUAGGGCGCGAGCGUUGUCCGGAAUUAUUGGGCGUAAAGAGCUCGUAGGCGGUUGGUCGCGUCUGCUGUGAAAGACCGGGGCUUAACUCCGGGGCUGCAGUGGGUACGGGCAGGCUAGAGUGCGGUAGGGGUAACCGGAAUUCCUGGUGUAGCGGUGGAAUGCGCAGAUAUCAGGAGGAACACCGAUGGCGAAGGCAGGUUACUAGGCCGUUACUAACGCUGAAGAGCGAAAGCAUGGGGAGCGAAGGGG